UGCAGGAAACAGAGGCUUUGUGACAAGUUGAGAUCCCUUAGCAGGGAGCUGUUGAUUCUGAGGUGAGUCAUGUUCAGAAUUCAGGGAACACCUGGGUGCCCGAGGUCAAGUGGGGCAUGGGAAACACGAGGAAAAGGCAGGUGAGCGAUCUGUGGGCUGGAGGGAACACUCUAGGAUUGGCCAAAGCCCAGGGCUUGGUGAUAAGAAACCCUUUGUGUUGGGGCCCAAAGGCAGAGGAAGGGCAGUUGGGGGCAGGGAGGCGGAGGCAGCUUUGGUAGCAAUCAAUCAGAUAGGCAACCCACCCACCAAGCCAGAAACAUGCUGUGUUUGGCAAUGGAGGGAAGGGAGGGGCUGACAGGUGGUUCCAAAUGCCCCAGGUGCAAGGCAGUGUCUCAGCCGGUCUGUGAAGCUCUUCAAAGCAGGUGUCCCUGCAGAGACAGAGCUGGAAAAUACUGGAGGAGGGAACCGCAGCCACUCAAGAGCACAUGGAGCCCUUUCAGUGGCCCCAUAGGACUCCUUGGGCUUACACAUCUGGUGUACUCUCUACCCACUUCCUUUACCCCGUGCCUUCUCCACAAUGACUCUCAGGAAGACAUCAGUGACCAAAGAGGGGCGUGGCUGCAGCCUCCAGACUGUGUUCCUGGAUAAAGCCUUCCCCAGUUAUCUCACCGGCCGCUAAGUGGGCAUCUAAUGAACACCGUGACUUCGUUUUCCAGGAACUCCACCCAAGGCCUGGUACUAAGGAAACCAUGACGGCUCCUCAUUUAGGAGGAAUGUUGACCUUCUUUCCCACUGAGGGCCACAGGCUUUGUGGCCAGGGCUUUGAGAAGGUUACAGGAAGAUGAAGCCCAGUGCCUAUUUCAUACACGCAAUUCUCCUCUCCAUCCUCAUCUUUCCCAGUAGGAAUCAUUUUGCCAGUGUCAGGUUUUGUCUGUCCAGUUAAGAAGGCAGGCUCUGGGGACUUCCCUAGUGGUCCAACGGCAAAGACUUCAAGCUUCCAAUGCAGGGGAGUCUGCGUUUAAUCCCUGGUCAAAGAACUAGACGCUGCAUGCCACAACUAAAAAUUCAAGUGUACG